UGGGGAAUUUUGGACAAUGGGCGAAAGCCUGAUCCAGCAAUGCCGCGUGUGUGAAGAAGGCCUUCGGGUUGUAAAGCACUUUUGUCCGGAAAGAAAUCCUUGGCUCUAAUACAGUCGGGGGAUGACGGUACCGGAGGAAUAAGCACCGGCUAACUACGUGCCAGCAGCCGCGGUAAUACGUAGGGUGCAAGCGUUAAUCGGAAUUACUGGGCGUAAAGCGUGCGCAGGCGGUUUGCUAAGACCGAUGUGAAAUCCCCGGGCUCAACCUGGGAACUGCAUUGGUGACUGGCAGGCUAGAGUAUGGCAGAGGGGGGUAGAAUUCCACGUGUAGCAGUGAAAUGCGUAGAGAUGUGGAGGAAUACCGAUGGCGAAGGCAGCCCCCUGGGCCAAUACUGACGCUCAUGCACGAAAGCGUGGGGAGCAAACAGGAUUAGAUACCCUGGUAGUCCACGCCCUAAAACGAUGUCAACUAGUUGUUGGGGAUUCAUUUCCUUAGUAACGUAGCUAACGCGUGAAGUUGACCGCCUGGGGAGUACGGUCGCAAGAUUAAAACUCAAAUGAAUUGACGGGGUCAUAGCUG
rnacentral:rRNA from 1 species